CACCAUCUUUUGUCAUGCAUCCCUUCUUCCCCUCAAUAAAAUGGAAUUUGUUUAUGUUUUUAAUAAGUCUGUAGGAGUCAAGCCAUGCACAUUAUACCCCUGAAAGGAUCGCUUAGGAUUAAGACUUCUCGCAAAGAUGCAUGUGACAUCAAUAACAAGGACAUCCUCGGUGAGAGUUAUCCUACCAACAUGGUACAUGAAUGAAGCUCGCCAGCUACCGGAUUGAGCU
rnacentral:lncRNA from 1 species